rnacentral:piRNA from 1 species
UGAUAAGAGAUCAGAUGCUGGUGUCCA